CGCCCACGGGGGGCAGCAGUGGGGAAUAUUGCACAAUGGGGGAAACCCUGAUGCAGCGAUGCCGCGUGGAGGAAGAAGGUUUUCGGAUUGUAAACUCCUUUUAUCAGGGACGAUAAUGACGGUACCUGAAGAAAAAGCAUCGGCUAACUCCGUGCCAGCAGCCGCGGUAAUACGGAGGAUGCGAGCGUUAUCCGGAUUUAUUGGGUUUAAAGGGUGCGCAGGCGGAAUGUCAAGUCAGCGGUAAAAUUUCGGGGCUCAACCCCGUCGUGCCUUUGAAACUGGCGUUCUUGAGUGAGCGAGAAGUA
rnacentral:rRNA from 1 species